GCCCCACCUUAAUUACAGGCCACACCUUUUGCUUACUCCAAACCCUGUGAGAAACUGUUUCUUUUUCUGGGCUGGGACAAUGCAUAGGAUCUGUAUUCUUUCAUAUCCUUCAUACCUUUUGCGAGUGCUAGGCUGAUACGGUGUCAGGUGCUGUUAGUGCGUAAGUAUUCGCUGGAAAACUUGUGACUGCAGCCCGAGGUAAGGCUGUCAGUCAUGGAAGCAUCCUGAUGUGGGCCUGCAAGGAGGGUCCUGUGGCCCUGGAUGAAGGCAAGCACGCAGAGCAGCCUCCUGCAAAGUGUCAGCCACCUCACAGCAACCUGAGGAGCGAAGAGGACACAGCCUGCUCCCCUGGAAGAGGCACACAAGUUCCCGAGCUGCUCGAGCUGCUGCCCUCUGCAGAGCGUGCUGCAGGAAGCCGGACUCCAGGG
ensembl:lncRNA